rnacentral:rRNA from 1 species
UAAGCCGUUGAAGGUGUGUCGUGAGGCAUGCUGGAGGUAUCAGAAGUGCGAAUGCUGACAUAAGUAACGAUAAAGCGGGUGAAAAGCCCGCUCGCCGGAAGACCAAGGGUUCCUGUCCAACGUUAAUCGGGGCAGGGUGAGUCGACCCCUAAGGCGAGGCCGAAAGGCGUAGUCGAUGGGAAACGGGUUAAUAUUCCCGUACUUGGUGUUACUGCGAAGGGGGGACGGAGAAGGCUAUGUUGGCCGGGCGACGGUUGUCCCGGUUUAAGCGUGUAGGUGUGUGUUCCAGGUAAAUCCGGUUCACUUUAACACUGAGGCGUGACGACGAGGCACUACGGUGCUGAAGCAACAAAUGCCCUGCUUCCAGGAAAAGCCUCUAAGCAUCAGGUAACAUCAAAUCGUACCCCAAACCGACACAGGUGGUCAGGUAGAGAAUACCAAGGCGCUUGAGAGAACUCGGGUGAAGGAACUAGGCAAAAUGGUGCCGUAACUUCGGGAGAAGGCACACUGACACGUAGGUGAAGUGGUUUACCCAUGGAGCUGAAGUCAGUCGAAGAUACCAGCUGGCUGCAACUGUUUAUUAAAAACACAGCACUGUGCAAACACGAAAGUGGACGUAUACGGUGUGACGCCUGCCCGGUGCCGGAAGGUUAAUUGAUGGGGUCAGCGCAAGCGAAGCUCCUGAUCGAAGCCCCGGUAAACGGCGGCCGUAACUAUAACGGUCCUAAGGUAGCGAAAUUCCUUGUCGGGUAAGUUCCGACCUGCACGAAUGGCGUAAUGAUGGCCAGGCUGUCUCCACCCGGGACUCAGUGAAAUUGAACUCGCUGUGAAGAUGCAGUGUACCCGCGGCAAGACGGAAAGACCCCGUGAACCUUUACUAUAGCUUGACACUGAACACUGGUCCUUGAUGUGCAGGAUAGGUGGGAGGCUUUGAAGUGUGGACGCCAGUCUGCAUGGAGCCAUCCUUGAAAUACCACCCUUUAAUGGCUGGUGUUCUAACGUGGGCCCGUGAACCGGGUUGCGGACAGUGUCUGGUGGGUAGUUUGACUGGGGCGGUCUCCUCCUAAAGAGUAACGGAGGAGCACGAAGGUUGGCUAAUCCUGGUCGGACAUCAGGAGGUUAGUGCAAUGGCAUAAGCCAGCUUGACUGCGAGCGUGACGGCGCGAGCAGGUGCGAAAGCAGGUCAUAGUGAUCCGGUGGUUCUGAAUGGAAGGGCCAUCGCUCAACGGAUAAAAGGUACUCCGGGGAUAACAGGCUGAUACCGCCCAAGAGUUCAUAUCGACGGCGGUGUUUGGCACCUCGAUGUCGGCUCAUCACAUCCUGGGGCUGAAGUAGGUCCCAAGGGUAUGGCUGUUCGCCAUUUAAAGUGGUACGCGAGCUGGGUUUAGAACGUCGUGAGACAGUUCGGUCCCUAUCUGCCGUGGGCGCUGGAAGAUUGAGGGGGGCUGCUCCUAGUACGAGAGGACCGGAGUGGACGCAUCACUGGUGUUCGGGUUGUCAUGCCAAUGGCACUGCCCGGUAGCUACAUGCGGAAGAGAUAAGUGCUGAAAGCA